rnacentral:rRNA from 1 species
GACGAACGCUGGCGGCGCGCUUAACACAUGCAAGUCGAGCGAUGAAAUUUCGACAGAUCCCUUCGGGGUGAAGAUGAAAUGGAUUAGCGGCGAACGGGUGAGUAACACGUGAGUAACCUGCCUUUGACAUUGGGAUAGCCUCGGGAAACUGGGAUUAAUACCAAAUGACACUAACUGAUCACAUGAUCAAUUAGUCAAAGAAAUUCGGUCAAAGAUGGACUCGCGGCUGAUUAGCUAGUUGGUGAGGUAACGGCCCACCAAGGCGACGAUCAGUAGCCGGCCUGAGAGGGUGAACGGCCACAUUGGAACUGAGACACGGUCCAAACUCCUACGGGAGGCAGCAGUGGGGAAUAUUGCACAAUGGGGGAAACCCUGAUGCAGCGACGCCGCGUGAGCGAAGAAGGCCUUCGGGUCGUAAAGCUCUUUUAUGAGGGAAGAUAAUGACGGUACCUCAAGAAAAAGCCCCGGCUAACUACGUG